GAUUUCUGGCUUGUACCAUUAGGCCGGCCACGGUUUCGUGUGUUAGUGCUUGAUGUUCUGGCCAUCCUUCCAAUCGCCGCAUACUCUUCUUCAUUGAUGAGUGUGUGGUAUUGGAUCUUUUACUUUGAACAAAUUAGAGUGUUUCAAGCAGGCUUUAUGCUAUGAAUACAUUAGCAUGGAAUAAUAAUUUAGGACUUCGGUUCUAUUUUGUUGGUUUCUAGGACUGAAGUAAUGAUUGAUAGGGACAGUUGGGGGUGCUAGUAUUCAGCGGCCAGAGGUGAAAUUCUCGGAUUCGCUGAAGACUAACUUAUGCGAAAGCAUU
rnacentral:rRNA from 1 species